GUUAUUUGCUUGGGUUUUGUUGUUGUUGCUGCUGCUACUGCUGUUGUUGUCUUUGUUUUGUUUGUUUUGGCUAUCCUGGAACUCACUCUGUAGACCAGGCUGGCUUCAAACUCAGAGGUCCUCCUGCCUCUGCCUCCGGAGUGCUGGGAUUAAAGGUGUGCGACACCACCACCACCACCACCACCAUCACCACCACCACCACCACCACCACCACCACCGCUGUUUCCACCACUACCAGGUUUCAGCUUCCUUUCUUAUACAGCCCAGGACACCUGCCCAGAGCUGGUCCCACCCACACUGGGAGGAGCCCUCCUGCAUUAAUCAUCAAUCGAGAAAAUGCUUCAAAGCCUUGCCAGCAGGCGCGGCAAGAACUGACACCAGGAGGAAGCUUUG
ensembl:antisense Gm15729 predicted gene 15729